GACGAACGCUGGCGGCGUGCUUAACACAUGCAAGUCGAGCGGUAAGGCCCUUUCGGGGGUACACGAGCGGCGAACGGGUGAGUAACACGUGGGUGACCUGCCCUCAGCUCUGGGAUAAGCCUGGGAAACCGGGUCUAAUACUGGAUAUGACUCCAUGACGCAUGUUGUGGGGUGGAAAGCCUUGUGCGGCUGAGGAUGGGCCCGCGGCCUAUCAGCUUGUUGGUGGGGUGANGGCCUACCAAGGCGACGACGGGUAGCCGGCCUGAGAGGGCGACCGGCCACACUGGGACUGAGACACGGCCCAGACUCCUACGGGAGGCAGCAGUGGGGAAUCUUGCGCAAUGGGCGAAAGCCUGACGCAGCGACGCCGCGUGAGGGAUGACGGCCUCGGUGU
rnacentral:rRNA from 1 species